rnacentral:rRNA from 1 species
GAUGAACGCUGGCGGCGUGCCUUAUACAUGCAAGUCGUGCGAACAGACUAGGGGCUUCCUCCUCUGACGUUAGCGGCGGACGGGUGAGUAACACGUGGAUAACCUACCGAUAAGACUGGGAUAACUUCGGGAAACCGGAGCUAAUCCCGGGUAAUAUAUUGAACCGCAUGUUCUAAUAGUGAAAGACGGUUUUGCUGUCACUUAUAGAUGGAUGCGCGUCGCAUUAGCUAGUUGGUAAGGUAACGGAUUACCAAGGCAACUAUGCGUAGCCGACCUGAGAGGGUGAUCGGCCACGCUAGAACUGAGACACGGUCCAGACUCCUACGGGAGGCAGCAGUAGGGAAUCUUCCGCAAUGGGCGGAAGCCUGACGGAGGAACGCCGCGUGAGUGAUGAAGGUCGUCGGAUCGUAAAACUCUGUUAUUAGGGAAGAACAAAUGGGUAAGUAACUAUGCACGUGUUGACGGUACCUAAUGAGAAAGCAAGGGCUAACUACGUG